UAGGACCCCAUUUCCCCUUCUAGGACCCAAUCCCCUCCUAGUCCCGCCCGUCUCUCCCGGAUGCGCCCUCCCAUUCGUCGGAGGGGGAGGCGGGAUCCGGGAGCUACCGCCUCUGAUUGGCUGGGGCGGGAGCGCGGGAAAGCGGCGGCGGGGGCGCCUUCCCGGCGUGCACCGCGCGGGGGAACUGGGAGAGACCUGGGAGGGAACUGGAAGGUCGCCGAUGGCCGAGCCCUGCCCGGGCCCUCCCAGUGCUCCCAGUGCCCCCCAGUGCUCCCAGUUGCCCCCUCCCACUCUGGAGGGGCUCAUUCCCCCCUCCCAUUUUGUGCUGCGUCCCAGGUCCCUGGGGGUGGAGCUUGAGGCAGAAAGGGGGCGUGUCCAUGAAUUGGAGGUGGAGCUGAAAGCACUGAAGGGGCGGAGCCAGCACCUGGAGGCAGAGCUUGAGGCUGAAAGGAGGCGGAGCCAGCACCUGGAGGCAGAGCUUGAGGCUGAAAGGAGGCGGAGCCAGCAGCUGGAGGCGGAGCUUGAAACAGAAAAGGGGCGGAGCCAAUCACUGGAGGCAGAACUUAAGUCAGAAAGGGGGCGGAGCCAAGGACUGGGGGUGGAGCUCGAUGCCCUGAGGGGGCGUGGCCAGCGAUUGGAGGCAGAGCUGGAUGCAGAAAAGGGGCGGAGCCAAAUCCUGGAGACGGAGCUGGAGACCCUGAGGAGGCGGGGCCUUGGCCCAGAGGAGGUGGAGCAAAGCCCAGAGCAGGUGUUGCUGGGCCGCUGGCGCCAGAAGGUUUUCCAGCUGCUGCUGCAGGUGAGGCUGCAGCAGGGCCAGGAGCUGCAGCUGCAGGGACAGGUGCGCUCCCUGGGUGCUGCAGUGGCCGCCGGGUCCCGACAGGUGUCGCUGUUGGAGCUGCGGCUGCGCCAGGGGGAGCAGGAGAGACAGGCCCUGUCCCAGGAGCGGCUCCGGGCGGAGGCGGCCGAGGAGGAACUGGGGAAACUGGGCCAGGCCCUGAGCCGGUAG
rnacentral:lncRNA from 1 species